rnacentral:rRNA from 1 species
UACAGAGGUCCCAAGCGUUGUUCGGAUUCACUGGGCGUAAAGGGUGCGUAGGCGGUUGGGUAAGUCUGAUGUGAAAUCUCACAGCUUAACUGUGAAACUGCAUUGGAUACUAUCCGGCUAGAGGAAUGGAGGGGAGACUGGAAUACUUGGUGUAGCAGUGAAAUGCGUAGAUAUCAAGUGGAACACCAGUGGCGAAGGCGAGUCUCUGGACAUUUCCUGACGCUGAGGCACGAAAG